rnacentral:rRNA from 1 species
CAAGGCGACGAUCCCUAGCUGGUCUGAGAGGAUGACCAGCCACACUGGAACUGAGACACGGUCCAGACUCCUACGGGAGGCAGCAGUGGGGAAUAUUGCACAAUGGGCGCAAGCCUGAUGCAGCCAUGCCGCGUGUAUGAAGAAGGCCUUCGGGUUGUAAAGUACUUUCAGCGGGGAGGAAGGUGUUGUGGUUAAUAACCGCAGCAAUUGACGUUACCCGCAGAAGAAGCACCGGCUAACUCCGUGCCAGCAGCCGCGGUAAUACGGAGGGUGCAAGCGUUAAUCGGAAUUACUGGGCGUAAAGCGCACGCAGGCGGUCUGUCAAGUCGGAUGUGAAAUCCCCGGGCUCAACCUGGGAACUGCAUUCGAAACUGGCAGGCUUGAGUCUUGUAGAGGGGGGUAGAAUUCCAGGUGUAGCGGUGAAAUGCGUAGAGAUCUGGAGGAAUACCGGUGGCGAAGGCGGCCCCCUGGACAAAGACUGACGCUCAGGUGCGAAAGCGUGGGGAGCAAACAGGAUUAGAUACCCUGGUAGUCCACGCCGUAAACGAUGUCUACUUGGAGGUUGUGCCCUUGAGGCGUGGCUUCCGGAGCUAACGCGUUAAGUAGACCGCCUGGGGAGUACGGCCGCAAGGUUAAAACUCAAAUGAAUUGACGGGGGCCCGCACAAGCGGUGGAGCAUGUGGUUUAAUUCGAUGCAACGCGAAGAACCUUACCUGGUCUUGACAUCCACGGAAGUUUUCAGAGAUGAGAAUGUGCCUUCGGGAACCGUGAGACAGGUGCUGCAUGGCUGUCGUCAGCUCGUGUUGUGAAAUGUUGGGUUAAGUCCCGCAACGAGCGCAACCCUUAUCCUUUGUUGCCAGCGGUCCGGCCGGGAACUCAAAGGAGACUGCCAGUGAUAAACUGGAGGAAGGUGGGGAUGACGUCAA